rnacentral:rRNA from 1 species
UACGGAGGGUGCAAGCGUUAUCCGGAUUCACUGGGUUUAAAGGGUGCGUAGGAGGGCAGGUAAGUCAGUGGUGAAAUCCCCGAGCUUAACUUGGGAACUGCCGUUGAUACUAUCUGUCUUGAAUAUCGUGGAGGUGAGCGGAAUAUGUCAUGGUAGCGGUGAAAUGCUUAGAUAUGACAUAGAACACCAAUUGCGAAGGCAGCUCGCUACACGAAUAUGACUCUGAGGCACGAAAGCGUGGGGAUCAAACAGG